rnacentral:lncRNA from 1 species
AGAAACACAAUCUUGGGCUUGAUUUCACAAGGAUUCAAGAAGGAAUUGAAGAUUACACACAAAAUUGAAGGAUUAUCAUACGGGUGUAUUCUUUAUAUCUUUUAAUUUCGUUUUAAUUCUUGAUUCUGUAAUUAUGAUCAUAGGCUAGGGUUUUUAUUCAUUAGGAAAUCGAUGAACCUUUGAUUAUUUAAUCUCCUUUAUUUCAUAAAUUCAAUAUAAAGUUUCGGUUGGACAAUUGUUUGAUUUAUAUGAUUUGAUUGCUUCCAUA